rnacentral:lncRNA from 1 species
ACCCUUAAACUCCUAAGUUCAUAGAUCCAAGAAUGGGCCCCUAAGAUCAAACAUAGACCCUAAAAUCAGAAUCCUUUAAACCCAAGUCAAUUGUGGCCCAAAACAGAUUAGGCCCAACUGAACCAAACCAGAUUACAGGUCCAGAUCAGAUCUCGGGCCCAAACCAACCCAGCCCACAGAUCCAAUUAGGUUCAACUCAGCCCAACACAGAUUCCCAACCCAACCCAAACCAGAUCUGAUCAGACCAGAUCAGAUCAAAUCUUGACGAACCAGAUUAUACUUACAUCAGGCUAACCCA